UAGUCCACGCCGUAAACGAUGUCUGCUAGCCGUUGGCGACUUUAUGUUGCUAGUGGCGCAGCUAACGCGAUAAGCAGACCGCCUGGGGAGUACGGCCGCAAGGUUAAAACUCAAAUGAAUUGACGGGGGGCCCGCACAAGCGGUGGAGCAUGUGGUUUAAUUCGAUGCAACGCGAAGAACCUUACCAGGUCUUGACAUCCCGAGAAGUCGCUAGAGAUAGCUUCGUGCCUUCGGGCAUUCGGUGACAGGUGCUGCAUGGCUGUCGUCAGCUCGUGUCGUGAGAUGUUGGGUUAAGUCCCGCAACGAGCGCAACCCUCAUCCUUAGUUGCCAGCAGGUUUGGCUGGGCACUCUAGGAACUGCCGUGGCAGCCGGAGGAGUGGGGAUGACGUCAAGUCCUCAUGGGCCCUUACGGGGUAGGGGCUACACACGUGCUACAAUGGCAGUGAC
rnacentral:rRNA from 1 species